rnacentral:rRNA from 1 species
UACGUGAGGGUGCGAGCGUUUGUCCGGAAUUAUUGGGCGUAAAGAGCUUGUAGGCGGUUUGUCGCGUCUGCCGUGAAAAUCCGGGGCUCAACCCCGGACUUGCGGUGGGUACGGGCAGACUAGAGUUGUGGGUAGGGGAGACUGGAAUUCCUGGUGUAGCGGUGAAAAUGCGCAGAUAUCAGGAGGAACACCGAUGGCGAAGGCAGGUCUCUGGGCCACUACUGACGCUGAGAAGCGAAAGCGUGGGGAGCGAACAGG